CGCCUCUUGUCCAACACAAAAUAAGAGGUCCUGCCUGCCCCGUGACUCUGUUUAACGGCCGCGGUAUUCUGACCGUGCAAAGGUAGCGCAAUCACUUGUUCUUUAAAUAAGGACCUGUAUGAAUGGCAAGACGAGGGCUAGACUGUCUCUUUUUUCCGGUCAAUGAAAUUGAUCUCCCCGUGCAGAAGCGGGGAUAAAAACAUAAGACGAGAAGACCCUGUGGAGCUUUAGACACCAGAGACAGCCCUUGUUAAAUACCUUAAAUAAAAGACUAAACCCAUAGGACCCUUCUCCCAUGUCUUCGGUUGGGGCGACCGCGGGGACAAAAAUAACCCCCAUGUGGACUAAGAAGACCGACCUCUUAGACCAAAGAGCUACCGCUCGAACCCACAGAAUUUCUGACCAAAGGAUCCGGCAAUGCCGAUCAACGAACCAAGUUACCCCAGGGAUAACAGCGCAAUCCUCUUUCAGAGACCCUAUCGACAAGAGGGUUUACGACCUCGAUGUUGGAUCAGGACAUCCUAUUGGUGCAGCCGCUAUUAAGGGUUCGUUUGUUCAACG
rnacentral:rRNA from 1 species